rnacentral:lncRNA from 1 species
GCUGCCUAUUUGAAGAGGAGGAGAUAGGAAUUCACACACCAAAUGAGUGCUUUUUUGGGAGGUGGGGGAUCUGACGUCACAGGGUAGAGCAGCAGAUGCCUCUGGGCAGUGAGUGUGUUUUCCCACAUCCACGGGAAUGGUGCAGGAGCAUGAAGUAGCGCUGUGUGAUAGUUAGUGGUUGUAGUUGGUUUACGAGAAAUGGGGGUUUGAAACUGUGCCCCUCGCUGAGUGUAUGACUUUGGACUCUGAGCUUCAGUUUACUCAUCACCAAAGAUGACCCUCCUUAGCGGCUGUAGUGAGGAGGCAGUGUUAGAAGGCCUGGAACACUGGUAUCCCCAGAGACAGGAAAGUCUAGACAGCCCCACAGAGCUGCAUGCCACCCUGACACCAAGGUCUCUCUGCCUUUUGUUAUCCUCUGAUCUGCCCCACGCUCAACCCCAGUUCAGGAGAUGCAAUCACCAACCUCCCUGGAGCAGACCAAGCCUCACCAGAGAGCUUCGCCUAUGACCUUUGCCUUAUGUUUAAUGCUAAGAUAUCUCCAGGAGGAGCUUGGGCCUUCUUACCGAAACCUGCAGUGUAUGCGGAAGCAUGUUUUUCAUCUGAGCCUCUGCGAGCGAACACCACCUGUUCCUCUUGAAUAUUCAUUCCCCAUCUGAAAUAAAAGGUCCCUGCUUCUCUUCGCUCAGGGACGCCAUGACUUUGGAAAUGAUUCCGCAUGGCCUCCUAUUUGCCGCAAAUAUACUUUACUUUGUGAGACAACUGCUUCUGGGUUGAGAGUCUGAUUUAACUC